AAUAGUCUGAGCGCUGAUGGUUCCCGCGGAACGAAAUCGCUGCGGGAUGAAAAGGGAACACUGUGAGGAAGAGCCGCAAGGGCGCCUAAUCCGUGACUGCCCCCGCAACUGUGAGCGGAGAGCGACCCCGAACGACGCCACUGGGCCCAUGAUCGCAUGGCCCGGGAAGGUACGGGAAAGCUUCGACCCGCGAGUCAGGAGACCUGCCAUCGCAACCACAACAAC
rnacentral:ncRNA from 2 species